GUCAAGGAGAGCCAGCAUCAUAAAAUGGUGCAUAAUAGAGGUGACUGAGCCAGGAAGAGGAGGCAUUUGCUUCAGUGAUGUCAUAGCCACCGGGGGCCACUAGGGGGUGGGUCUGGUCAUUCCUGUGUCAGGAGUAAUGAUUGUAUAGGAACGGGGCGUGAAGAAUGUCAUUCUGGAAACAGCAGUGGAGACGAAACGUGCUCUAAGUAACUGAUUUUCACCUUCUCACUUCAGUACCUGUCCUGCAAUGAACUUCUGAUGACUCUCGAUGCCGUCCUUGUAGGGGGGAGACCCAGUCGUGGGGGCUGUGCCGAGAAGAAAUGAUGAAUGGAAAGAACUUGAGCACGGCAAAUGAAGAUCAGAAAACUUUUUUCAUCGGCCUUUUGGCAAGAGGCACUAAGUUAUUUGCCUGGGAAAAUAAUCCCAUCAUAUUUACUUCUGCUGUAACCAGCGUGUGGCUUCCUCUUUGCUGACACCAUACAAUUCAUUGAGAUUCUGAAUAAAACUAAAAUGAGGAGGAAGGUGAAUGAUUCUACUUUCUGUGGUACAAAAGCAUUGACAGUCUAUGUAGUAAACUAGAAAUAGGAAUAGGCAAAAUAUCUGCAAUCAACUCUCCUAAUCAACCACUUAUAAGGAGCAAGGAGGUAGGUGAUUGAGUAGAUGACACUUGCUAACAUUUAUAGAAAUCAUAAAUAUGACAUUGGUUGGUGGCUACUAAUGUCACUGGACAAGUGGUGAAAGAAAAGCAUCAGUGCAGAAUUUGAAAUUCAUGUCUAAGUGCAGUAUAAAUGAUCAGAAGGCUUCUAUGUGUGUCCUGAAGAAGACUCCUAUCUCCCAUAGCCACAAGACUAAUGUGGCUGAAAAUCCAGUGCGCAAUCUCAUACUUUGCGCGUUAAUUUAAAAUACAAGUUCAACUGGCAUAAAAGGUUGUCUUCUGUUAAGGUGGGAUCAUUGAUUGAGACAGAAUGAGAUCCUGUAAGUUGGGAAGGAGACGUGAAAGGACCAUAAUGAAGCUGGGGCUAGUACCCCUUAAUUCUGAGGAGUCUUUGCCAAUGGACAGGGUCACCCCACCCCAACAGAAACAAUUUUCUCAUGUCUGGGGGAAGUUGCUUCCCCACCAACAGUGGCGACAGCAAUCCCACCUUCAGAGGUAUUGGACUUAUCAGCCCCAGUGCUGUCAGCCUUUCCACCUCUGAGACUACUAACCCUGCACUGCCUGAAGGAACCGUAAUGGCCUUCCUGGAGGCGGGUCCCAUGCAAAAUAAUGCUGAUUCCUCUAAGGACAAAUGCUCACCAACAUCUUGGAACAAAGAUUUAGUCUUCAUCCAUUUUCUGUUGGUGUAAUAGAAUGCCAUAAACUGAAUCAUUUAUUGAAAAGAAAUGUGGGAGGAGGAGCCAAGAUGGCGGACGAGAAACACCGCCAGACAGAGUGUCUCUG